ACAGCUCCGUGCCCCGCUCCAGGCCCAGGUUCUUAUCCGCCUGCCCUGGGAAUAUACCCCAGAGCCGGUGGGGCUUUCUGAAAGCCGGUCGCUGCUGCCCGCCACUAGCCCGUCCCUCUAGGCAGGCAUUGUCUGGCGGCCGCGCGCUCCCCAGUCUCCGGUUUCUCCGGCAAAGUGCUCCCCACCCGCUCCUCCUUUUGUACAAUAUUACUGGCAGUAGAGAGCCCCUCAAGAAUUAUUUUUCUCUCUCUUCUGGAUAAUAAGGAGACGGAAGACAUAAUGUUCUACUCUUUCCACCUAACUGUCUUCCUCCCAUCCCCCUUCCACAUCAAUGCAAAUAGACUUACCAGGAAUAAGGUCGGUAUAGAAUCUCCCAGAUAAGGCCACCUGGAACCGGGAAGAUGCAAUCGAGUAUUUCUUUUUGCCUAUUGUAUCAGUGUAUUUCCAUGUCAAGAGGUGUUGGUGUUGCCGCCUUUUAGGCUCUUCCUGAAGAGAUAAGAGAGAGAUGGAGAGAUGGGGAGAAAAAGAUUGGGGGGUGGAGGGAGGGAGGGAGAGAGAGAGAGAGACGGAGAAACGGAGAGAGUUGUACAGAUGGACCCGAUGCAGUGACUGACUGGCACGCAGACACACACUUUUUGUUUGCUGCACAUAAUCUGCCCAAUGACGCGUGACAGCCCACGUCCCCUCCCUUUAACUCUUUGCUGGGCCAGGCGCUCCCUCCGGCGCCGCCUGCCUCGCAGCUUUUUCCCCCGGCCUGCCCGCGCCCCGCAGAUCCUGAGCGCCUACCCCGGGUGGCAACGCCUCUCAGAGAGCGUCCCGGCCCACCUCCUCCUAAAGCUCGGGCCCUCUGGGACUGCUAGGAGGGGAAAAUCGUUUCAGGAUUGGAAAGGAAGGUACCAAAAUGAUUGGAGAGGGCCUUUCCCCGUUUGACUAGGCACUUGGAGAAGCUAUGACAGAGAGCUGGACACCCAGCGCGUGCGGACCCCGAGUGCCAACACUACCAAGCUUCCCCCUGCAAAAUUCAGAAAGGAUGCGCUUUGGUGAGAACUUGGCUCAGCCUUCCGGUGGCUUGGGAGAUGAGGUUGGAGUGAGAAUGUCACCAGACCUCGGAAGGGGACAUAACGGUACCUCCUAGUCCCAGGACACGGGAAACAUUCCUCCCCAAACAACACGGAUUUUUGGACGCCUCCACCUUGAGACAGCUACUUCAGCCAGAACGUGGGACAGGCACUAACAGGAUAUCACCCUUGGGGAUAAACACGCUCCAGUUUCUUGUGGACGGUGGAAGAGGAAAGAACAGGAGAAGCUGCCAGAGGGAUGGGGUGUGGGAAGCUCAUCCUUGCACGUUUAGACUAGGGAAGAAGAGAAUAUUAGGGGAUAGGGGGAGGGGGAGGAUGGGAAGUGUAGUUUUUCCCCUUCCUUCCUUUCAUUUCAGAUCCCAUUAGUGCUUUUAUUUCUUUAAUUUCGAAAACUAUUUCCCUUUCCUGAAUCUGGAUGCGGGCAGGGAGCGAACUCAAGGAAAUGAUGAGCAUGGACAGGAGAUAUGUCCUGGGAACUCAAACUCUCCUGCUUCGCCACUGUCUCUGAGAGAGAUGCCCUGAGCCUUAGCCCAAUGUAAAGAGAGCUGAUUGGGUGUAUGGGCAGUGGCGGGUGGUCUGAAUAAGAAAUAAAAUAAGGGAAAGCCAGAUCUACUCCCAUCCCAAAGCAUUAAAAGACGCACCUCCCCACCCCCCAGCUGUCUUGUGUCCGGCAGAAUGGCAUUAUGUAAAAGAUCUGGCAUGUCACCCAGUGGCACAUCUGGUAGGUGUAGAUGGCAUUCAUUAGCACGGGGCUUCUACUCUGCAGCAUGCCAAAGCUCUGACAGAGAUGCCCGCUGCCAAUCAUUCAUUGGCUGCCAAUCCCCAAGCGCGGCCGGGCGGGAUGGCUUCCUUCCACCCUGGCACCAGGAGUGCAGGAAACAAUGUGUUGAGAUAGAAGAGAUGAAAGUGGAGCUGAGGAUGCGAGGCACCCAACAGAUGUAUCCCGUGAGGAGAUAACAGUGCUAAGAGUCAUUUAGCAAGAAAGCAUAUGCAGGAUCUCAGGAGGGAGGCUUGGGCAGGGGGUCUGCUUGCCUAGGGCUAAGCUGAAGGAAAAGCAGGGGAGCCCUUUCAGAAACCUGAAAGUUGAGGUUGCUUCUCUAAAAACACACAAAGACCAAAACCUCAACCCCCUAAGUGUAGGAUUUCCCCUUCUCUUUGGUUUGUCACUUGUAUCUCUUUUUAUCUAGAAAACUAACUACCUCUCUAAAGGUCAACCUUUGUCAUGUUUUUUUCUGAGGACCAAGAUGAAGAGCACCUUCCUGUUUUAAAUUUUGCAUAAUUCUCAUAGACUAGUAAUUUGGGGGCUAAGGGGAGGAAGACUGUCAGGAUAUCUUCAGUGCAUCGUAAAAGGCAAAGGUCUUAUUUCCAUUCUUAGAUUUUCAGAGGGGAUAAAGAUGAACAAAGGAAAGUAAGGAAAUUAUUAAAAUGGCAAACGAAGAUUAAACACAAAAUCCAGGAUAGAGGUUGCCUUUGAGGUUGUUCUUUUUCUUAGGCUGGGUGGCAAUUAACAAAGUGUUCAGUGUAUUGUUUUUCUUUAUGCCAUAUACAUAUUUUACAUUCUUUUUAUCCAUUCACAAUUUAAUAAAGCAACAACAAAACUCAGGGCUUUGACAGUUUAUGGAACUUGGUGUUUAAGUUGACUCUAACUUAAGCUCUUCAGUUUAUAUAUAUAUGUUUGUGUGUAUUAUCUAUACAGUUAUACUCUUUUUAGUAUAUGUUAUAAAAUAUUUGGGACAUAUACUACAAAUUUAUUCAUAUUUUAUCUAAAACUGAAACUUUAGUUGGCCAUUACAUAUAUUUAUUUGCUAAAUCUAGCAACCUUGGGUAUGCUGGCUCGUGGUCACAAUAUAGCUGCUGUAAUUCCAAGCAUCAAACCAUCGUUUUAAACAUGAAGAAAGGAACGGGGCAAACAACUGUGGUUGUUUGCUUAAUCAGUGAAAGGAAUACUUUCACUUUCAUUAGGCAGACCUGGAUCACCUGACCACAUGUACAUGCAAAAGAGUCUGGGAAAAUUAGCCUUUAAAGUAUAAAAAGAUAGGGAUAAGGGACUGGGGAUGGUUGUUGGGUUGCAAUCAAAGGUGUCUGACAAAGAAACUGAAGAUCAAAGAAGAGUUCCUGUUAACAUUAAACAAGAGUAUAGCUUAUCAAGUUUUUUCAUUGUUUUAAAUAAAAGUUUUCUGUUUUCAUUAUAGUGA